GCAGUCGAACGCUCCGCAAGGAGAGUGGCAGACGGGUGAGUAACACGUGGGAACGUACCCUUUACUACGGAACAACUCCGGGAAACUGGAGCUAAUACCGUAUGUGCCCUUCGGGGGAAAGAUUUAUCGGUAAAGGAUCGGCCCGCGUUGGAUUAGCUAGUUGGUGGGGUAAAGGCCUACCAAGGCGACGAUCCAUAGCUGGUCUGAGAGGAUGAUCAGCCACAUUGGGACUGAGACACGGCCCAAACUCCUACGGGAGGCAGCAGUGGGGAAUAUUGGACAAUGGGCGCAAGCCUGAUCCAGCCAUGCCGCGUGUGUGAUGAAGGCCUUAGGGUUGUAAAGCACUUUCACCGGAGAAGAUAAUGACGGUAUCCGGAGAAGAAGCCCCGGCUAACUUCGUGCCAGCAGCCGCGGUAAUACGAAGGGGGCUAGCGUUGUUCGGAAUUACUGGGCGUAAAGCGCACGUAGGCGGAUAUUUAAGUCAGGGGUGAAAUCCCAGAGCUCAACUCUGGAACUGCCUUUGAUACUGGGUAUCUUGAGUAUGGAAGAGGUAAGUGGAAUUGCGAGUGUAGAGGUGAAAUUCGUAGAUAUUCGCAGGAACACCAGUGGCGAGGGCGGGCUACUGGUCCAUAACUGACGCUGAGGUGCGAAAGCG
rnacentral:rRNA from 1 species